GGAUACCCGAGGGAAACUUCGGUUAAUACGGUAUAAGACCACACUACCGCAUGGUAGAGGGGUAAAAGGGGCAACCUGGUAUGAGAUGGACUCGCGUCGCAUUAGCUAGUUGGUGAGGUAACGGCCCACCAAGGCGACGAUGCGUAGCCGACCUGAGAGGGUGAUCGGCCACAUUGGGACUGAGAUACGGCCCAGACUCCUACGGGAGGCAGCAGUGGGGAAUAUUGGGCAAUGGAGGAAACUCUGACCCAGCAAUGCCGCGUGAAUGAAGAAGGUCUUCGGAUUGUAAAGUUCUUUAGUCAGGGAAGAAGUCAAUGACGGUACCUGAAGAAUAAGCUCCGGCUAACUACGUGCCAGCAGCCGCGGUAAUACGUAGGGAGCAAGCGUUGUUCGGAAUGACUGGGCGUAAAGGGUGCGUAGGCGGUUGUACAAGUUAGAAGUGAAAUACCCAGGGCUUAACUCGGGUGCUGCUUCUAAAACUGUACGACUUGAGUGCAGUAGAGGUUAGUGGAAUUCCUAGUGUAGCGGUGGAAUGCGUAGAUAUUAGGAGGAACACCAGAGGCGAAGGCGGCUAACUGGACUGCAACUGACGCUGAGGCACGAAAGUGUGGGGAGCAAACAGGAUUAGAUACCCUGGUAGUCCACACUGUAAACGAUGGAUACUAGAUGUAGGAGGUAUCGACUCCUUCUGCGUCGCA
rnacentral:rRNA from 1 species